rnacentral:rRNA from 1 species
UACGUAGGGUGCAAGCGUUGUCCGGAAUUAUUGGGCGUAAAGAGCUCGUAGGCGGCUUGUCGCGUCGGAUGUGAAAGCCCGGGGCUUAACCCCGGGUCUGCAUUCGAUACGGGCAGGCUAGAGUUCGGUAGGGGAGAUCGGAAUUCCUGGUGUAGCGGUGAAAUGCGCAGAUAUCAGGAGGAACACCGGUGGCGAAGGCGGAUCUCUGGGCCGAUACUGACGCUGAGGAGCGAAAGCGUGGGGAGCGGACAGG